rnacentral:rRNA from 1 species
UGAUGCAGCAACGCCGCGUGAGGGAUGACGGCCUUCGGGUUGUAAACCUCUUUUAGCAGGGAAGAAGCGAAAGUGACGGUACCUGCAGAAAAAGCGCCGGCUAACUACGUGCCAGCAGCCGCGGUAAUACGUAGGGCGCAAGCGUUAUCCGGAAUUAUUGGGCGUAAAGAGCUCGUAGGCGGUUUGUCGCGUCUGCUGUGAAAUCCGGAGGCUCAACCUCCGGCCUGCAGUGGGUACGGGCAGACUAGAGUGCGGUAGGGGAGAUUGGAAUUCCUGGUGUAGCGGUGGAAUGCGCAGAUAUCAGGAGGAACACCGAUGGCGAAGGCAGAUCUCUGGGCCGUAACUGACGCUGAGGAGCGAAAGGGUGGGGAGCAAACAGGCUUAGAUACCCUGGUAGUCCACCCCGUAAACGUUGGGAACUAGUUGUGGGGUCCAUUCCACGGAUUCCGUGACGCAGCUAACGCAUUAAGUUCCCCGCCUGGGGAGUACGGCCGCAAGGCUAAAACUCAAAGGAAUUGACGGGGACCCGCACAAGCGGCGGAGCAUGCGGAUUAAUUCGAUGCAACGCGAAGAACCUUACCAAGGCUUGACAUAUACGAGAACGGGCCAGAAAUGGUCAACUCUUUGGACACUCGUAAACAGGUGGUGCAUGGUUGUCGUCAGCUCGUGUCGUGAGAUGUUGGGUUAAGUCCCGCAACGAGCGCAACCCUCGUUCUAUGUUGCCAGCACGUAAUGGUGGGAACUCAUGGGAUACUGCCGGGGUCAACUCGGAGGAAGGUGGGGAUGACGUCAAAUCAUCAUGCCCCUUAUGUCUUGGGCUUCACGCAUGCUACAAUGGCCGGUACAAAGGGCUGC